CCUACGGGAGGCAGCAGUGGGGAAUAUUGGACAAUGGGGGCAACCCUGAUCCAGCGACGCCGCGUGAGUGAAGACGGAUUUCUGUACGUUAAGCUCUAUCUGCAGGAAAGAAAAUGACGGUACCUGACUAAUAAGCCGCGGCUAACUACGUGCCAGCAGCCGCGGUAAUACGUAGGGGGCAAGCGUUAUCCGGAUUUACUGGGGGUAAAGGGGGCGUAGGCGGCAUCGCAAGUAUGGAGGGAAAUGCCGGGGCCCAACCCCGGAACUGCUGGGGAAACUGGUAAGCUGGAGUGAACGAGAGGUAAGCGGAAGUCCUGGUGUAGCGGUGAAAUGCGUAGAUAUCAGGAGGAACACCGGCGGCGAAGGCGGCUUACUGGACCGUAACUGACGUUGAUGCUCGAAGGCGUGGGGAGCGAACAGGAUUAGAUACCCCAGUAGUC
rnacentral:rRNA from 1 species